UACGGAGGAUGCGGGCGUUAUCCGGAUUUAUUGGGUUUAAAGGGUGCGUAGGCGGACGCUUAAGUCAGCGGUAAAAUUGCGGGGCUCAACCCCGUCCGGCCGUUGAAACUGGGGGCCUUGAGUGGGCGAGAAGAAGGCGGAAUGCGUGGUGUAGCGGUGAAAUGCAUAGAUAUCACGCAGAACCCCGAUUGCGAAGGCAGCCUUCCGGCGCCCUACUGACGCUGAGGCACGAAUGUGCGGGGAUCGAACAGG
rnacentral:rRNA from 1 species